AAGGCCUUACAUGGUAAUUCGGACAUUCGUGGUUUAUUUUGCCAGUAAUGUUGAUUUCCCCCAGUAUAUUGCCCUAAGGUAGUUAAAAAAGAGGCAGUUUUCACUUACAAGUACUGAAAAAACUCUGAAAUGGUCAGGUUUUACUGCUUAGCCUGCUUUUUAAAGAAAAGGUAGCGACACAAGAGUUUGGCUUAUUAGUUGUCUCCAUCUGCUGGCGGAAUAGAAAUGUGCUUUAUUUGUCUGACUUCAUGGAAUUCAGAGAUCAAAAUACGAAAAAAAUGACAUCACAUUUUCAUGCUGCUUUACUAAAAUUGGGAUUAGAAAGAUUAUAGUUAUUUUCUGAAUGAUUAUUUCAUUCUGACAACAGUAACCAAGUACUUAAAAACUUGGGGUUAGUCGUACCGAAUGCUAUUCAACUUCAUCUCCUCCUUUUGGGAUGGAGCUGCAGAGGUACCACACUAUCAGGUAUCUCUGUGGGACAAAUCCUUUCAGUUUUAAAACCGGAAAGAUCUUAUUUCUCUACUUUUAUUAACAUUCUAGUAUAUUUACAUUUUCAAAUGCCAUUACUCAUAUUCCAUUAAACCAUGGAGUGAGUAAGUAUGUCUGUAUUAAAUUGCAAGAAAGAAAAGACGUACAUGGAAUAUAAUUGUACAGGUGGCAUUAGAGAUUCAUAUUUAUUAUUUAAAAGAUAAAUUUUUGAAGAAUUACAUUGUUUAGUUCAGCAACGCGAUGCACAACUACAACUCUUCUGUAAUGAAACAAAACUAAAUCAUUUCUAAUUGUUGUUUCGGUUAUGCUGUGCAUGUUAAAGAAUCAGCAUAUGUAAAAAUGCCUACUUAAAUUAUCAGGUAGAAACACUAGGCCAGGUGUGGUUCUUUUUUUUAAAUUAUUUUUUAAUGAGCUGCAUUUUAGAAUUUAAAACACUGGUUAUUUCCAGUAUUUGGAAUUUAUUCGAUCUCUGGUAAUUCCUAACAUAGGAGCUCGGGGAUUUAAUUUUUGACUCUGAAGAGCACUAUGUUGUUUUCCUUUUUCUUUGUACACUACCUCCAACCCCCAAGUUAGUGCCUUCGAAGGUGUGCUGGGAAAGCCAGAGCAGCCUCAUUGGGAAAUUGCACUCUUUCACUUGUGAACUGAAUACACACUGGUGGUAAUGAAACAGAUGUUCAUGUUGUAAAUUCUAUUAUUGCAAAGCAGGUACAAAAGAGGAAUCGGAACCCAGGGUGACAUUGACUGGGGUUUGUAUCUCUCGGCAUGGUUGCCCUUUUCUUAUGAAAGGUUCCUGGAAAAGAGAGGGGAGGAUGAAAAUGGAAGUAAGUAAAAGCUAUUCUAGGCGUAUAGCUUGAGGCAGUCUGUAUCAAAGGAACGAUUGUCUCUGUGCACACACACUGCAUGGUCUGCACCAGUCAAAAAAAUAAUUUCACGGGAGAGGUGAGCUUAACCUCUUUACUCUUCCACCAGAGCACCUUGAUGUUAAACGCAGCAUCCAGUUGCAUGAUCGAUAGGAUUUUACUUCACAAUAGGUGAAUAUUUGGAGAAGUCUUACCACAAUCUUCAGGAAUUAGUCUUUUUUAUUUUUAUUUUUUAAACUUGCUACCACCAUUGGAUAGUGGGGAUUUCACACAUGCAUCGUGAGUGUGUGUCAGUUGCAAAUAAUGGACAGUUAAUCCCCUUUAAAAUACAUUAUCCUUGGUCUCUGCAAAAGUAAGACUUCUGUUUUUGUUUACGUACAAAUUGAAACCAAGGAACUCAAUCAGUCUUUGUCCAAAUCUUAGAAAUUCUUACUUUUGCAAGCACAACUCAAAAUUAAAGGGAAAAAAAAAAAAAAGGUUCUAUUAAUCUGCUUUGAAAGUAAGUGAAAAUUCUACAAAAAUAUUAGAUGUUGUAUCCUCUAACCUACUAUGAGAAAUACCUGAUGGACUUAUCAGUGCCAGUGUGUAAACUUGUAUAUUUUAAGCCAAGCAAUUUUUUGCUGUGAUGGAAAUGAUUGACUUACUUACUUGGGUCAGCGGGUGGGGCAGAAGAGAGAUGAUAGUUCACAGAAUAACCUGUGAACUUUCACCCCUCUAUAUGGAAACUUGUUUCAGGGUCAAAUCCUUGUAGCUGCCUUCUUGCCACGGUCAAUGCCAGCCCUACUAUUCACAACACUGCGGCCAUCGAGGCCUAGGAUCAGUUCUUAAGAGCAGCCCCUGUAACUGGAGGAAUGGGAGCUCAGCUGAUGAGAAAAAUGGGUUGGAGAGAAGGAGAAGGGCUUGGAAAAAACAAAGAAGGCAGUGUCGAGCCAAUUAUGGUUGACUUUAAGACUGAUCGAAAAGGUAAGCACUUCCUUAAGUGUUUUAUGAUAGUGUAAACUUAUGCUUCUUUGGAAGGUAGGCAAAAUAGCUUGAAGUAUUAAGCUCCUAGGUGCAGCUUCCCUGCAAAAAUGUACAGAAUGAUGACUAGUUUUCAAGGCCUGGAUUACUUUUGUAGGUCCUGUCCUUAUGCCGGUGAACUCUUCAAGAAGUUCAUUAAUUCCCCUUAACCUUUGCCUUCCACUUGAAAAAGUGCUUCUCUGUGGCUCUUAAACUGGAGGUACGCUUCAGUUGGAAAUAUAGAAAAGGCAAGGACAGGGACAUGAAUGGUUGAAAAGCUUCUGUGGUUGACCUAGAGAAAGUGGCUGAAGCAGAAAUGGGGCAGGGUAGAAGGUGGAAUGCUUGAUUGUCUUUAAGCUGUGGUGACAGCUGAAGUCCUGACAUGAAGAGAAUGUCACACAGAUUCUUAGCUCUUCCAAAUGGGUUGUUUACUUUCUUAGCCAUCUGAUCUAACUGCUUUUCCAUUUCCUAGUUUGAUUGUGUUACAGCUACCUCUGCUCAACUGCAGUGAUGUUUCCUUGCUUGCUUUCAUUUAUUAUUUCUCCUCCUUUAUAAAGUCCAUGGCCACAGGUGGAAAAUUGUUGCACUUGUCUCAUCUGAUAGAAGAGACUUGCAGGCAGCGAGCUGCUGCUUAAACUGGCAACGUGACUUAGACAGCUGGCCAUCUUGCCAGCGUAUUCCGUGUGACUUCUGUAUUCAGAGGAGGCGUUUAUGAAAAGCUUUUCAUCCAAAAUACCUACAGAAAUUUUUAAAACUUCAAAUAAUAUACGUGGAAUUUAUCGUUUAAUUAUUCAAUUAUGCAGGUUAUCAAAGUAAACAAAUGAACAUUGACUGCAGAAAUCAUCCUUGUAGUUGAUCUCCUCAAUGUUAAAAAUAGUGGAAACAAAAAAUAAAAAAUCUCAAACUGGAGAUCUUUAACAUAUUACAUGGAUCACAACUAGUAUUAAAGCAUGAAAUGCUUUGAAUUAUGGAUUUGUGCCUAUUUCAGUCAAUGCUCGUAAUUGAAGAAAACAAAGCAUGAAAGUGCAAAUGUCAUGAAGUUUAUUUAUGGAGAUGCUAGAUCUCAGUACAGAGAUAGCCAUGCUCAGUUGAUCAAACCAGUGGUUAAAAUACAAAAUAAUUCAGCUUGAAUAUUAAGGUAGAACAGGAGAAAUUUUCCUAAGUUAGGAAAAUACCUAUUGCUUUUCAAAGUCUUAAAACCUAGCAGUAUACUAUGAUUUUAUAAACAGAAGUGCAACAGUUUGAAAAUGCAGGACACAAUAAUACGUACAUUUCGGUUUAAUGUGAACGAUGUGCAGACUUGCUUUUCAGCUGUUUUUCUUUGCAACCUUUCCAUUUAAAGGGGGAAAGGAUACUCUGGUGACAGUGAUUACCAAGAAAGUAUUAGAAAAAUCUUCUUUCUGUAACUGUUAUUCAGUUGCUCUGGUCCUUGUAGGUGCUGUCUUGUGCUGGUAAGAGUUCUUUCAGUGUAGUUUUAUGAAUAUCAGUCAGAGGAAAGAAAUUGAGAACAGUCAAUUUGAAUAUAUAUAUUUUUAAGCAGUCUGCAUAAUGCAGCAGUGGAUUUUUGUGAUGAGGAGGGAAGAGUUAGCUGUUAAUUAUAUUGCUUGCAUUGUGUCACAUCACAGGAGAAGGGCAGUAUUGUUGCACAACCUGUGACUGUUUCAUAAAUUAAAACAAUUUUUGUGCUACACAGCUUUGUUACAGCUCAAGUUUCUCAUUUUAGAAAGUGUACAGCAGGUCUUCAUGUGGUUUCAGGUAGAAAUUUCUUUAAUGCUUGUGGGAUUUUCAAUUGAAAUUUCAAGGUGUGAAGCAGGAUCAGAUCUGCGUUGUGCUGGGCAGUCUGUAACAGAGAGCUUGGUGUCUGCUCAGUAACCCGGGGAAGCAGUGAGAUGGAGCUAAAAGAGAGCAAUUUCUGGCACGUGGUAGAUUCACCUGUAAAUACUGCUAACCCUUGUGAUGGAUGAGCUUUGCUUAAUUUUUAUCUGUUUAAUACAUGUAUGUUUUUAAUAGACAAAGUGUUUUGUUAUUUUCACAAAAAAAAUCUGAAUGUGUUGUGUUGAUACAGAAUACUUAUUAAUGUUGGGCAAAGUAUACAUUGUAAGUGACAGCUUGCAUUAUGGAGAAGCAAGUGCUUCAUGUGUAAAGGAGUAGCUGAACAGUGAUUAUAGAUUUGAGACCAUUAGGUGAAAAACUUCAUACACAAAUUUCAUACAAAAACAAACAAACACAAAACUUCAUACAAAAACUUGGUACACUUUCUACACGUAGAAAGUCAAACCUUCUUAAGUUCAGUGUGGAGGCUUAAAGACUCUUAAAGGCUUUGGAAGAAAGCACUUGGUAUAUGAAUGCCACUGGAAGGUGGAAGUUUUUAUACAAGAACUGUCAGUAAGUGACCAGUUUGUUUAAAAACAAAACGAAAAAACAGCAAGCACACAACCAAAAUCAAACCCCAACCAAUCCGAAACACAAGUAGACAGAAACCUCCAUGUUUUUAGAACUUAUCCCCAAAAUAAAAUAUUGUUUUUAGAUAUGGGAACAAGCAGUUUGUUGAGGAGCUAUUCAGCGGGUUGUACUAAGACAGGAACCAAAAGGUCAGCCUGUGUCAUGGCUUUUUAUUAGACCUUGUUUUUUUGCACCCCAAGUCACAUCUGUGAUCCUCUGAGAGGCAGCAUUGAAACAGAAGCCUUCUUGUGCUUUGCUGUAAUCCAGUAAGUUGCUCUUGUCUCUGUUUAAAGGAGCUUGGUGCACCAGCUCUCAGCAAAUAUCAGAGCUAAUUGGAGUCUGUUGCAGCCUUUCUGAGAAUUCAUCCUGAGCUGACAGGGGUGAGAUGUGGAGAAGAGGAUGGUGAUGUGGAGGGAGGGAAAAGCAGUAUUAAUGCAGAUGAAUGAAGUAAGAGCUUUUUGUUUGGGGGAAACUUUUUGGAUGUUUUUCAUAUCAGCUUCUGUAAGGAGGAGAAAAAAAAAAGAAAAGAUUGUGAAAAUAUGUAUAGGACUUAAUGCCACCUGAGAAGUCACGCAAGAGCUGCAUGAAUAUUGGGAUGAGAAUAUGGUAAGGAGAGGAAGGUUUUCUUUUCAAGUAAAACCAAUAAGCAAGCA